ACAAUUUAAGGGGGAAAGUGCUAAGCAUCAUUAAGUAAUCACUUCAGUAAAAGCUGUAGAAAGGGGAACAGGAACACGGGUUCCUGCCUUCCUUAUCACUUACAUGGUCCAACAGGGAACAAGAGAGCUCUUGUAAUAGUUAACGCUUGAAUGCUUUCCUUGUGCCUCCGCGUUCCACGUGUUAAGUCUCAAGUAACACCCCCCAACCCCGUGUCCUCCAGCAGCGUUACCUGCUCCACACUGGAGGACACAGGCGCGGAGCUUACGUAACCCGUUACCCCUGAGAGGCAGGUUCGGCACCGCGCUCCACCGGACAGAAUCGGAAAAACCAGAUGAAUCCCAAGAACAACCUGGUGAUUUCCCCGAGGGAACGGACGAGUUUGGAGGAGUGAUGGGUUCAAGGUACAGAAGGGGCAGAGGCAAGGGUCUGCUGACGAGAAGGCUGCAGAAGUUGGCACAGGAGUUUGAAAAACCAAAAGGCGCUUCUCGGGGCUGCAUUACUCAGCGGCGAUUAGGAAAGCAGGCGGGAAAGAGCCGGUGAAUGACACCUGCGGAGCCCCCGGAUCCCGGGGACCCAGGAACCGGUCGGAAAUGACAUCAAUAGAGAGGCUGGGCGCUCAGCGGUACAGCGGCCUGCGGACCACCGGCCGGAAGUGAGGCAGCGGAAGUCCCGCCCCGGAGGCGGUGCCGGGUGUGAGGGGCGUCGCGAUGGGCGGGGAGGAGCUUCGCGGGUCCUCCAGGAACCCUGGAUCCCCGACAGUUUUGCAGAACACUGGUCUCCAUGGACUCUAACAUGGACUUCAUUUAAAGAAAUCCACGGACCAUUAACGGACAAAAACAUGAGUCAUUUUGUAUUGUGGCAUUCAAAUCCUAGUACUUUGGGAAAGCAUCAAGUACAAGUUUUUGAAGACCCUGAGGCCUACCAUCAUUAUGCAUUCAAGAUUUCAGUUUGAAUAACUUCAUCAAGACUUAGAUCCUCUUCAAAAGUCUCAAGUUUCAUCUGCAUUAAAGCUCUCCAUUGAACUCUGUCACAAAAUUAAAAGUGUGAAGGGACUAAAAUCCAUUAGUACAUUCCAUUGUACACCCUUUUCUCUGAUCGCUCCAAUUCCCUUCACUGUAGGGUCUUUCAUAUUGCUUAUGUUCCUUUGCCUAGAGCCAAGGAAACAGUGCUUUCCGGGAGAAUAUAUAUCCUGUGAUCAUAAAUUUUCAUUGCUAGAGAAGUAUAAACUUGGCAGGAUCAGUUUAGAAUCACAUCUUUUGUUGUGGCCUAUAAAAACUUGAGUUAACAAUAAGAAAAGGAGGACGAAGUAGUAAAAAUAUUUGAGGUCAGAUUAUACUCUCUGAGACUAUGUGGUUUAGAGAAAAGAGCCUCAGCCUGAAAGUUGAUGGUUCUUAUUCUCUCUGCCUCUUCUAAAUGGGAAAAUCACUUAACUGCUCUGAGCCUUAAGUUCAUCUGAAAAGUAAAUCUGAUAGUAUUUUCCCUGCCUACCUCACAGGGUUGUUGUGAGGAUUAACUGAAGUUGUGUGCAUAAGAAGGACUGUUAGAUAAAAUGUGCAAUAUAGACAUACUUGCAAGUCAUCCCCUCAGCUUUUGGACCUGGGAAGGUAGGUGAUUUAAGCACACUGAAGGCACUAUGUCCAGGCUGGAUAUGUGGUAACAAGGCUGUGUUGAUUUUUGUUUUCUCUGAAUACAUAGAGUUCUCUUAGGGGCUAAUUCUAAGAAGGAGGACAACUAUAAAUAGCCCUAAAAUUAUAAGUUAGCAUUGAUAAUGUUCUAGAGCUGUUAUGUCUUGUAACAUAUUUGUGGUUUGCAAAAUUUGUUACUAAGCUGUGACCCACAUUAAAAAUAUUUUUUUAUUUAAA